AACGAACGCUGGCGGCAUGCCUAACACAUGCAAGUCGAACGAGAUCUUCGGAUCUAGUGGCGCACGGGUGCGUAACGCGUGGGAAUCUGCCCUUGGGUGCGGAAUAACUUCUCGAAAGGGAUGCUAAUACCGCAUAAUGUCGUAAGACCAAAGAUUUAUCGCCCAAGGAUGAGCCCGCGUAAGAUUAGCUAGUUGGUGGGGUAAAAGCCUACCAAGGCGACGAUCUUUAGCUGGUCUGAGAGGAUGAUCAGCCACACUGGGACUGAGACACGGCCCAGACUCCUACGGGAGGCAGCAGUGGGGAAUAUUGGACAAUGGGCGAAAGCCUGAUCCAGCAAUGCCGCGUGAGUGAUGAAGGCCCUAGGGUUGUAAAGCUCUUUUACCCGGGAUGAUAAUGACAGUACCGGGAGAAUAAGCUCCGGCUAACUCCGUGCCAGCCGCCGCAGUAAUAC
rnacentral:rRNA from 1 species